rnacentral:rRNA from 1 species
UACGGGGGGGGGUAAGCGUUGUUCGGAAUUACUGGGCGUAAAGGGCUCGUAGGUGGCCAACUAAGUCGGACGUGAAAUCCCUCGGCUUAACCGGGGAAUGGCAUCCGAUACUGGAUGGCUUGAGUUUGGGAGAGGGACGCGGAAUUCCAGGUGUAGCGGUGAAAUGCGUAGAUAUCUGGAGGAACACCGGUGGCGAAGGCGGCGUCCUGGACCAAUACUGACACUGAGGAGCGAAAGCCAGGGGAGCAAACGGG